UACGUAGGGGGCUAGCGUUGUCCGGAAUCAUUGGGCGUAAAGCGCGUGUAGGCGGUUCGGUAAGUCUGCUGUGAAAGUCGGGGGCUCAACCCUCGAAUGCCGGUGGAUACUGUCGGACUAGAGUGCGGAAGAGGCGAGUGGAAUUCCUGGUGUAGCGGUGAAAUGCGCAGAUAUCAGGAGGAACACCAAUGGCGAAGGCAGCUCGCUGGGACGGUACUGACGCUGGAGACGCGAAAGCGUGGGGAGCAAACAGG
rnacentral:rRNA from 1 species